UACACUCAAUUCCAAAGUAUGUUCAGUUUCCAGAAAGCUUUUGAUUAGAGCUCUCCAGUAAGAUUGUCAAGAAUGAGUUCGUUCAUUUUGUUGCAAGGAUACAUUAGCAUGGAACCACUCUAGUCAUCCUGGACUUAGCAGCAUUUCUUUGUCUUAGCUUAAAAAUGAUAACUCAUGAUUCCAGGUUCCUAAACGCUGCUAAAUUGGCACUUGGUUGAUUAAAG
rnacentral:lncRNA from 1 species